AUACGUAGGGGGCAAGCGUUAUCCGGAUUUAUUGGGUUUAAAGGGAGCGUAGGUGGACAGUUAAGUCAGCUGUGAAAGUUUGGGGCUCAACCUUAAAAUUGCAGUUGAUACUGGUUUCCUUGAGUACGGUAUAGGUGGGCGGAAUUCGUGGUGUAGCGGUGAAAUGCUUAGAUAUCACGAAGAACUCCGAUCGCGAAGGCAGCUCACCGGGCCGGAACUGACACUGAUGCUCGAAAGUGCGGGUAUCAAACAGGAUUAGAUACCCUGGUAGUCCGCACAGUAAACGAUGAAUACUCGCUGUUUGCGAUACACUGUAAGCGGCCAAGCGAAAGCGUUAAGUAUUCCACCUGGGGAGUACGCCGGCAACGGUGAAACUCAAAUGAAUUGGCGGGG
rnacentral:rRNA from 1 species